GGGGAUAUAGCUCAGUUGGUAGAGUGCUUGCGUCCUAUGCACAAGGCCCUGGGUUCAAUCCCCAGCACUACCA
rfam:Ictidomys tridecemlineatus contig031656, whole genome shotgun sequence.